UUCUUCAAAAUCAUUUUCGCCAUAGUAUUCAGGUGCGCGAGGAAAGUGACUGCGUCCAGUUUUUCCAAAAUGUCGACCAGGAUAACGGCUACUUUGAUCGUAAGUAGCUUGAUCCUCCAGGGAAUAUUUGAGCUUGGAAUCUGGCAAGUCCUCGAUGAUACGAAAAUGACUGGACUGACUAGAUCUAGUAGCAUCUGAACUCACUGUUGUAGUACUUAUUCCAUCCUUCGAUGGAGACACAACGCUGUUAGCAUCAUCGGUAUUAUAGGAAGCACUCUCGGAGUCAGAUGGAAGGCUAUCAAUGUCGACAGCGAUGCAUUGUUGAACACGGUCAUUAAAAUGAAUAUGGCGCUUGGAGUGAGAUGGAUAUCGUUGACUAAACAGUGCAGACCGGAUGGUGGCAUGAUUACGAUUCGAAAAAAUAUCGCCUCUGUUUCUGGCUAAAAGACUGUCGAAUCGCCUAAUUUGAGGCCACGGGGUUAGAUCACGACCAGAGAGAAGCAAUUCCUGAGGAGUUCGUCGUUUUAAAAUAGGUUUUUUAGCGAGAGAACUACCAGAACUCGUUUCACUAUGAUUAGCUUCAUCAUC